rnacentral:rRNA from 1 species
CCGGCGUGCCUAUACUGCAAGUCGAGCGAGUCUCUUCGGAGGCUAGCGGCGGACGGGUGAGUAACACGUAGGCAACCUGCCUCUCAGACUGGGAUAACAUAGGGAAACUUAUGCUAAUACCGGAUAGGUUUUUGGAUCGCAUGAUCCAAAAAGAAAAGGCGGCUUUAAGCUGUCACUGGGAGAUGGGCCUGCGGCGCAUUACCUAGUUGGUGGGGUAAUGGCCUACCAAGGCGACAAUGCGUACCCGACCUGAAAGGGUGACCGGCCACACUGGGACUGAAACACGGCCCAAACUCCUACGGGAGGCAGCAGUAGGGAAUUUUCCACAAUGGACGAAAGUCUGAUGGAGCAACGCCGCGUGAACGAUGAAGGUCUUCGGAUUGUAAAGUUCUGUUGUUAGGGACAAACAAGUACCGUUCGAAUAGGGCGGUACCUUGACGGUACCUGACGAGAAAGCCACGGCUAACUACGUGCCACCAGCCGCGGUAAUACGUAGGUGGCAAGCGUUGUCCGGAUUUAUUGGGCGUAAAGCGCGCGCAGGCGGCUAUGUAAGUCUGGUGUUAAAGCCCGGAGCUCAACUCCGGUUCGCAUCGGAAACUGUGUAGCUUGAGUGCAAAAGAGGAAAGCGGUAUUCCACGUGUAGCGGUGAAAUGCGUAGAGAUGUGGAGGAACACCAGUGGCGAAGGCGGCUUUCUGGUCUGUAACUGACGCUGAGGCGCGAAAGCUGUGGUGGAGCAAACAGGAUUAGAUACCCUGCUAGUCCACGCCGUAAACGAUGAGUGCUAGGUGUUGGGGUUUCAUACCUCAAUUGCCGCAG